rnacentral:rRNA from 1 species
AUUGAACGCUGGCGGUAGGCCUAACACAUGCGAGUCGAGCGGAUGAAGGGAGCUUGCUCCUGGAUUCAGCGGCGGACGGGUGAGUAAUGCCUAGGAAUCUGCCUGGUAGUGGGGGAUAACGUCCGGAAACGGGCGCUAAUACCGCAUACGUCCUGAGGGAGAAAGUGGGGGAUCUUCGGACCUCACGCUAUCAGAUGAGCCUAGGUCGGAUUAGCUAGUUGGUGGGGUAAAGGCCUACCAAGGCGACGAUCCGUAACUGGUCUGAGAGGAUGAUCAGUCACACUGGAACUGAGACACGGUCCAGACUCCUACGGGAGGCAGCAGUGGGGAAUAUUGGACAAUGGGCGAAAGCCUGAUCCAGCCAUGCCGCGUGUGUGAAGAAGGUCUUCGGAUUGUAAAGCACUUUAAGUUGGGAGGAAGGGCAGUAAGUUAAUACCUUGCUGUUUUGACGUUACCAACAGAAUAAGCACCGGCUAACUUCGUG